ensembl:lncRNA
ACGCGAUCCCUUCGUGCUUGGGCACCAAACCCCGAGAGGACAAACGUUAUUGAUUUGUGACCUUGUGACCCCCCCAUUAAGACUGAGAUGUAAACACGUUCAUGCUCCCGACCGAUUUAUUGUCGGUACGUCGGUGGCUGCUGUAGAGAACCCCGCCCCUAGGGGUCAGAGGUCGUGUCCUCCGUAGGUGGACCUCCUGCUGGCUGGAAAGGACUUCACCAGCAGAGGACGGUUGGCUGCUUUGAAAGGACCUCGUCCACCAGAAGCACCACGAACACGGGAACGUGUUCACGGUUUCAACAAAAGUCUCCGGCUUGAAUAGAGAUUUGCAAUUUACAAUUCAAUCCAAUGCAACGAUACAUUUUUCUCCAAAGAAGCGGAUUUGUUUAAGGUGACUCUGCAUUCGGUUCCUGCUGCCAGUUUCACCUCGAAAAGAAAACUACAUUAACUGCCCGCAAUUCGGUUCAUAAUACAAAUCAAAAGGCAGAAAUUGAAAGCGAUUCAUAUUCACGAAGGUCAUCGUUGACCUUGGGAGCAGAUAUUUAUGAUAAGAUAUUCUAAGCCUAAGCUUCGCUUACCGUGGGAGCGUUUAUUUUUCAUCCGUGUCGUUACUGAAGUCAAAUAUGAGAGAAAUAAAAGUCUGUUGACCUGAAAAUAAGUUUUGAAUAAUCGAAUGGCGAGAUUUCAUUUUCAAGACACCAUUGAAGUGUCUCCGUCCCCCGUUAUCAAAGUCAUUAAUGUUUAAUGUACUUAAGUAUCAACACCGUCUUUAUCUGCAGCUUCAACUCCUCAGGUGUUUUUAUCCGGGUAGAAAAAUAUCAAAUAUAGAUUAAGACCUGAGAAACAACCAAGAUUACACGUAUUUCACCCACCAGCGCUUCCCUCAUAUUGUGUGUGUGUGUGUGUAUACGGCAGCGUGUGUGCGUGUGUGUGUCCUCUCAUUAGCGCGCAGUAGCUCGUUAGCACGGAGCUAGCUGAGCGUCGGGGCACCAGGCAGCUUCAUUAGCCACUGUGACAUUUAUCUGAUCCACCGCCGCGUCUCCAUGGCAACCCUCAGAUGCAAACACGGCAACGCGUACCGCCGAAAUCACAUGGCCUCACGUGGACCCAGACCCACAGACCCAGGUCCUCCAGCAGGGACCAGUCCACCAUAAACAGACCCAGGUCCUCCAGCAGGGACCAGUCCACCAUAAACAGACCCAGGUCCUCCAGCAGGGACCAGUCCACCAUAAACAGACCCAGGUCCUCCAGCGGGGACCAGUCCACCAUAAACAGACCCAGGUCCUCCAGCAGGGACCAGCCCACCAUAAACAGACCCAGGUCCUCCAGCAGAGACCAGUCCACCGUGGACAGACCCAGGUCCUCCAGCAGGGACCGGUCCACCAUAAACAGACCCCGGUCCUCCAGCAGGGACCAGUCCACCAUAAACAGAUCCAGAUCUGUUAGAAUUUUAGAACAACAACAGAUUUCUAUUAAACAACAACAUAUGAUAUGAAUGUUUUGCAUCAAUUUGUGUGUGAUAACAUCUCACCACAUGUGCGUGUGUCACGGUGUGUGUUUGGUUAGCUGACCUUGGCUGCCCUGCUCCCUCCGGGGUGUUGGGGGCCAUGGGGGGGCCAUGGGGGCCAUGGGAGGGGGGGGGACGACUGAUGUUUCUCACUCUGCUUGUCAACAAGAUUAGUUCCCCUGUGGGACCGUUACACACCCUACAAACACGCUGCCAAUGAAGUGUGUGACAGCUCGGCCCCUCCACCAAACCCACUGAAGUGUGUGCGUCUGUGUGUGUGUGUGUGUGUGUGUGUGUGAUUGUUUGCACUGUGAUCGAGGGGUUAAGGGAGUCAGAGAGGAUGUGUGUUUUAGAGCAGAAACAGAAGGGAAAAACAGCAGGAGGAUCAGCGCAGCCAGCCUGAACUGUAGCCUGUGUGCAUGCGUGUGCGUGUGCGUGUGCGUUGCGUCAGAGAGCCCAUGCUGAGCUCUGGGCUGUGCUUACUCCUGGACCUCAUCUGCAUCCGUCUCUCUGUCUCCAGCCUCUCCAACGUGGAGGUGACCUGCCUUCCUCUCCCAUCUGAGACCUGGAGACUCUCACAAGCGCAGAUGGACAAUGUUCAAUCAAUGAUGUAAUCGGCAGGUUACUAGAUAAUGAAAAACAAUAAUCUGUGACGGUAGGUCACAUGACCACGGAGACGUUUCACCGACUCUGCAGUUCUCCUCAGAUCUGCACGCUGCUUUUUCUCUUAGCGUCUUUCAGCUGAGUUGGCUCAUUUAAAAGCCAAUUACCGCGGCGCGAAUGAGCUUUUAGCCAAACACCGCGUCCAGAACAAUAAAAGCGUGCAAACUGCCCCCCCGUCCCCCCACCCCCGUCCCCCCCUCCCCGGGCCGCGUCUGAGUGAAGAGUCAGCAGGAACCCAACCGCACUGUAAAGGGUCUCUUUUUUUAAAACGUGUGCGUUGUGAGGACCACGGCCGCGCGGUCGUAACCGGGCAACAACGCGCCUUCUACCUCUUCCGUCCUCUUCGUGCUAAGCUAAGCUAACCGGGUGGCUCUAAGGGAGCGAGAGGAAGCUGGUGAACGAACGAAUGGUUCCUCGGUCUAACGUGAGGCAACAACAUCACUUCUUCUUCUUCUUCUUCUUCUUCUUCU